GACGAACGCUGGCGGCGUGCUUAACACAUGCAAGUCGAACGAAGUGGCGAACGGGUGAGUAAUACGUGGGUAACCUGCCCUCCUUUUUGGGAUAAGCCUUGGAAACGGGUUCUAAUACCGAAUAACGGGGGAGGGGCUAGCGGCGUAUCAGCUUGUUGGUGGGGUGAUGGCCUACCAAGGCGGUGACGGUGUGACGGCCUGAGAGGGUGACCGGCCACAUUGGGACGGAGAUUCGGCCCAGAUGCCGACGGGAGGUAGCAGUGGGGGAGAUUGCACAAUGGGCGAAGGCCUGAUGAAGCGACGCAGCGUGGGGGAGGAAGGGUUUCGGGUUGUAAAUCUCUUGCGCUAUCGAAAGGGUAGGUGGAGAAGAAGCGCCGGCUAACUACGUGCCAGCAGCCGCGGUAAUUC
rnacentral:rRNA from 1 species